rnacentral:rRNA from 1 species
UACAGAGGUCUCAAGCGUUGUUCGGAUUCAUUGGGCGUAAAGGGUGCGUAGGCGGCGCGGUAAGUCGGGUGUGAAAUCUCGGAGCUUAACUCCGAAACUGCAUUCGAUACUGCCGUGCUUGAGGACUGGAGAGGAGACUGGAAUUUACGGUGUAGCGGUGAAAUGCGUAGAUAUCGUGAAGGAAGACCAGUGGCGAAGGCGGGUCUCUGGACAGUUCCUGACGCUGAGGCACGGAAGGUCAGGGGAGCAAACGGG